rnacentral:rRNA from 1 species
GUGAGGAAUACUGGACAAUGGGCGCAAGCCUGAUCCAGCCAUGCCGCGUGCAGGAAGACGCAUCUAUGGUGUGUAAACUGCUUUUGUACGGGAAGAAACACUCCCUCGUGAGGGAGCUUGACGGUACCGUAAGAAUAAGGAUCGGCUAACUCCGUGCCAGCAGCCGCGGUAAUACGGAGGAUCCAAGCGUUAUCCGGAAUCAUUGGGUUUAAAGGGUCCGUAGGCGGUUUAAUAAGUCAGUGGUGAAAGCCCAUCGCUCAACGAUGGAACGGCCAUUGAUACUGUUAGACUUGAAUUACAAGGAAGUAACUAGAAUAUGUAGUGUAGCGGUGAAAUGCUUAGAUAUUACAUGGAAUACCAAUUGCGAAGGCAGGUUACUACUUGUGGAUUGACGCUGAUGGACGAAAGCGUGGGGAGCGAACAGGAUUAGAUACCCCGGUAGUCC